UACGUAGGGGGCAAGCGUUGUCCGGAAUCAUUGGGCGUAAAGCGCGUGUAGGUGGUUCGAUAAGUCUGCUGUGAAAGUCCAGGGCUCAACCCUGGGAUGCCGGUGGAUACUGUCGAGCUAGAGUACGGAAGAGGCGAGUGGAAUUCCCGGUGUAGCGGUGAAAUGCGCAGAUAUCAGGAGGAACACCGGUGGCGAAGGCAGGUCUCUGGGCCGAUACUGACGCUGAGGAGCGAAAGCGUGGGGGAGCAAACAGG
rnacentral:rRNA from 1 species